CCUGGGUCAUCUUAAAGGGAAAUCUCUUCCAAAAAGAUAGCCCCAGUGGGUUAUGAUACAUGAAGAAAUGGUGAGUUGCUGGAUGGACGCUCAGAACAGAGGUACCCAGAGGAGGGCAUUGCCAAGGGCAGGGGGCUUUGUUGGUGAUCUUGAGUGAGACUCCGAAGAAUCAACAAAAGUGUUCAAAAGAGAAAGAGUCGGCAAUGCUUCUUUAGUCCAGCGGGCACUGAGGCCAGAUAACCUUAUACCAGCUAUGCAGCCUGGCCCCUUUCUUCUAGUUCCUCUCUUCCUAGGCUGACUUCAGAGAGAGCUCACAGUGGGAGAGGAGGCAGAAGAGGAAAUGCUUAAGAACCAGCCCUGCUCCCUUCCCCUCCUCCCCCCGGGCCUCCAUUCUAGGAAUGGGGAAAGUCUGACACUGAAUAAGAGUCUAGAUAUUUUAUUUCUUUACUGGAGUGGACUCUAACUUUACAAUUAUUAGACUAGACUGGAACUUUUGAUGCCAAACAUUAUGUAAGAGUGAGUAUAAAAGCCAUGGACCGACUACAGUUUCAUGUUUAACAGUGAGAAAUAAUACAUUUAUUUUCUUUUUAUAUUUUAUCACAGACUGAGGUGUCAUAUACUGAGGGUAUAAACCAGGAACUGUGGUAGUCUAAUUUGGGUACAAUAUAAGUCUGGACAGGGUUAGGGAAAAAUAAGUCUGGAAAUAUCUUAGAGUAAUAGAGGGCAGUUCUUUAACCUCACUUCUCCCCUUGUCUCUCCUCUAGAACGGCCUCCUUCUCAUUCUCUGAAGAAAAAGGUUUGAGGGUGAAGGGAUCCUUUCCAUUUGACCUAUGUGAGAAUGUACAAUUUGCAAAGUAGGGAUUAUGUGCUAGAACUCCACAAGGUAUAGGGAAAAAUUGCAAGAGUUUUUGAGAUAGGUCAACCUAGUUUUGAAUCUGUUAUUGUUGUAAGAACAUACUAUUUCUGAAACUCAAUAUCCUUAUCUGUAGGUCGGGAAAUUACUCUCUAAGACUACUGUGAAGGAUAAAUGAAAUAAGAUGAAAAUGAGGCAGAUACAUAAAAUAACUGUGUGACCUUAAGUAAACUGCAAAUGUCUUGGGUCUCUGUCUCUCAGUUUGCCCAUCCCACUGUGUUGUCAAUGACACUUCCUGUCAAUGUUUGAAGUACAUAACAGGAAUUUUUUUAGGCAAGGCACAAAGUAUUGUUUUUUUAUAAAUGCUCAGUAAAUGUCAAGCCUGUAUUUUUUUGUGUCCAAAAUUAAAACUUUCGUUUUUGUUACAUAAGAAAGGUCCUUUUGGUGAGGGUAGGAAGGAUAUUUAAAUGGAAAGCUAUAUAUAUUAGGCCUGAAAAUUGUUAAUGACGUUAUUUAAAAUGACUAGAAAGGUACUUAAGGAAGGUAGCAGUUGUAGGCUUUCUUUUCUUAGGAAAUCAAUACUCAUAAAACUCAAGGAUGGAAUUGAGAAUUAAAAACCACAGUGAGUUUAUUUUAAAACAUGUAGUCUGUCAUCUUCGUUUUCCCUUUGGAUAACACAGUGUUUAUAUCCUGAGGUCUAUUUAUGUUGCUGCGACUUUCGCUGACUUUGAAGUGAACUUCACAUGGUGCUAGAAUCAGAACAGCGGGGCUUAGAGAUCACACAGUCCAACCCUCUCAUUUAAAAAGAGUAAAUUGAGGUCAGAGAGGAAAGUGAAUCGCCAGGACACCUCCUCUGUUUCCUCCGAGUUAUAAAAUGGAACCUCCUGUUGUUCUUAGCCACCAGGCCCAGCUCUGAGAGGCCAAGAGUCGUCCUCCCCUGCUCCCCCUCCCUCGGGCCUUGAUCUUCCACUAAACGUAGACAGUGCCUGGCACUUAGCAGGCACUCCAUAGUUCUUAAAAAGAGGAAUGGUAUUAACUGUGAACAGGGUUUCGUUCUCACCAGAGCCUGAUUAGAGCCUCUGGCAUUCUUGGUGUGGCUUAGGAGAAUCACUAACUGCUGGUUAAAGAAAAAAAAAAAAAUCCUUGCUGCUCGUCUCCAGGAUACAUGCUUCAUGGAGAUGCCCUUGUGAGAGACGUUCUACAGCCGAUCAGCCUGCAAUUUAAUGCAUCCUCCUCGUGUGACUUCUCAUCUGCAGAUUCCUUUAGAGCCACCAUUUCCUCUGUCCGGGGCAUCUCGAGGCAUCCAGCAGCUCUCCUCUACUUGGCAAGCACACAGAUUUGUCAUCAAAGCUCAUGGUCAGGUCGGAGGGCUGCCGAGUUCUUCCGGGUGUCGUUUCAGGGUCUCAGAAAACAAAUUUCAUUUAUGCUUAUAUUUUAAAUCUGGCUGGUCCAAAAUUUCAGUAUUUACAAAGGAAAUCUGUUUAUUUCUUUUGAUGUGACUCAGAUAGAGACUAAUUUUAUUUGUAUAGUUAUCUUUAAGGUUAUGUGGGUUGGAGAAUGAGUCAUAGACAACGAAAAAGUAAAAUGUUGAGUAGAACAAACCCACUUAGAGGUUUGUAAUUUUGGAGGUUUUUGUCUGAAGAGGAGAUAGCUAAACCUGAGAGAGCAAUAAGUGUCCUGUAUGUUCCACGUAGGAGUGACCAGCUGUUCCCCUCUUUCCUAGGGUGAGCCCAAUAGUCAUUAGGGUUAAAGGGCAGCAGUAGGCAUUUUUAUUAGAACCAGGUAACUUUCUGGAGUUCCUUUAAUGACAGAAAGAUACCUUCAUGGAGUCCCUUUCGCCUGUUUUCGAAUUCCUUCAAGGCCAGUUCUGCAGCUCACUUCACCUUGUUCACGGAUGAUCUGGAGCCCUGGUCCUCAAAGGAACCCAGGUGCCCUGGGCGCCCCUUGCAGCGAGCUCGUAGGAGCCCCGCAGGACGGUUUACAUGGUCGAGGGACAGCACAGCGCCAUCUCUCGGACAUCACGCCAACUACUAUUAUUAAGUUGUUCGGACCUCACUAGUACUUAAUAAACGAAACUAUUAGAUUUACCCUAGGGGCACGGCGACAAAUUUGCUGAGACCUCAGGGAACCACGAGCCAAGAAAGUUUGGGAACCUCUGAAGAGUGGUUAAGAGACGUCAGAAAGAUCACAAUUGACAAAGGAGUUAGCAAAAGAAACCCUAAACAUUCUCCCUUUCUGUUUAUUGCCUGCAGACUUCCCCACUCUGUUCUUAGCUAUGUAAACAAAGGCAGACAUCAUUGUCAGGAGCCAGGCUCCAGCUUCUCUGCCUGUUAUCAGUUUACUGCUACUUUACAGCUAAUGAACCCUUUCUAUUUAUAUCUUCGUGUCCACGUCUAUAGAUAGAUGAUAUUUAUCUGCACCUGUGCAUUUUUUCCUAGAGAUGUCUCCUUAAAAAAUUAUUUUUAAAAAGUUAAGGACAUGGGUUUAAUGUUACAGAAUGUGCUAGAGUAGAAGCUGUGUAGUUCUCACAUCUGAAUUGAGGGCCAUCAUGGGGAGAGGUGUUGAUGUGGAAUUAAUGUCCUCGUAGGUGACCUCUGUCAACUUUACAAGCUCUUUGAUGACUGAUUAGUCCAUUUAUAAAACAAAGAAAAUAAUGCAGAUGUUAUUGAGGUCUUGUGUUUAUAAAAUAUCCUAAGAUGCUCAGAUGAAAGGUGUGACACGGGAAAUGCCAUCUGAGAUGGACCCUCCCACAGAGUCACAGCUAUCCCUCUCAAUGUGACGGAAACUUGAUAUUUGAAAACUCCCUUGAUAAGAAUUGUGUUCUCAUCAGCUCUGCCUUUUCUCUGAAAUUUGUUCCAGUUUUCUUUCCUCUUUACCAUCCCUUCAAAUUGGUUGACAUUUAUAACCUGCAAGAGAGUCAUUGAGCAAUGACUUGAGAGGCCUCCGCAAACACAAUUGCUUUUCCACCAGGGCAGAAAACAAUGUAUGCACAAAGCCCUGUGAAGGCUCAGAGGACUCUGGAAAGACAUUUCAGAGGAGGGGGCAUUUGAACUCAGUCUUAAAGAAGAAGUGUUUGCCGAGUAGGAAAGAGUCCACUCAGAACCAGAAAAUUGCUAAAUUGCAACACCAUGAAGCCAAAAGUUGCAAUCAUCAUAUAAAGAACUUUAUUUUUGUGUAAGUGGAAGUUAGAACAGAGAGAACAUACACAAAGUACUAAAUGUAUAAAUACUAUCUACAUAGUAGAUAUGGAGGUGAGCAGAAAGACAGAAGAGAGUGUUUAUCAAGUUUUAUAAUGAUAAUAAAAAAGGCAAAAUGAUGACUGUUCAAGUGUCAACUUAAGCUUAACCAUUUCUCAAGGUAUAAGUCAGAAGAAAAGGGAUUUUUGGCAAAGUAGAUCUUUCUUUGACACCAAGAGUACAGAAAACAAUUGGCUUCCUUCCACAGAGACGUUCAAUCAAAUAUAUUUCUUGAAAAAGUAAAAACACACUCAAUAUGAAUAUAGUAUUCAUAUAAUGUAUAGCCCCAGUGACAUCUAUAUUGCAUGAAACUUUCAAAUCACAUGUAUACUUAAUUUAAAUUUACAUCCUUUUUCUUAAAAAAAGAUCUUGAGACUCUUAUCAAGUCAGUUACUAUUAGCACCAACUUUCUAAU